rnacentral:tRNA from 1 species
UCCCUGGUGGCUCAGAUGGUAAAGCGUCUGCCUACAAUGUGGGAGACCUGGGUUCAAUCCCUAGGUUGGGAA